UGAGCGAUCUGCCCUUCUCUUCGGAAUAAGCGUUGGAAACGACGUCUAAUGCCGAAUACGACCUCCUUUCGCAUGAUCGGAGGUGGAAAGCUCCGGCGGAGAAGGAUGAGCUCGCGGCCUAUCAGCUAGUUGGUGUGGGUAAUGGCCCACCAAGGCGACGACGGGUAGCCGGCCUGAGAGGGUGACGGCCACACUGGGACUGAGACACGGCCCAGACUCCUACGGGA
rnacentral:rRNA from 1 species